rnacentral:rRNA from 1 species
GGAUGAGCCCGCGGCCUAUCAGCUUGUUGGUGGGGUAAUGGCCUACCAAGGCGACGACGGGUAGCCGGCCUGAGAGGGCGACCGGCCACACUGGGAUUGAGACACGGCCCAGACUCCUACGGGAGGCAGCAGUGGGGAAUAUUGCACAAUGGGCGAAAGCCUGAUGCAGCGACGCCGCGUGAGGGAUGACGGCUCUUCGG